rnacentral:rRNA from 1 species
UACGGAGGAUCCAAGCGUUAUCCGGAAUCAUUGGGUUUAAAGGGUCCGUAGGCGGUUUGGUAAGUCAGUGGUGAAAGCCCAUCGCUCAACGGUGGAACGGCCAUUGAUACUGCCAGACUUGAAUUAUUAGGAAGUAACUAGAAUAUGUAGUGUAGCGGUGAAAUGCUUAGAGAUUACAUGGAAUACCAAUUGCGAAGGCAGGUUACUACUAAUGGAUUGACGCUGAUGGACGAAAAGCGUGGGGUAGCGAAACAGG